CCAAGGGCCAAUAAUUUUGGAUUUUAUCAGAGACCAUCAAGAGAUCAUUUAACAGAAACUACUACGUUUAGAGAGCAGCACGAGGAGAAAAAAAAAGGUUAAGCCAAGGUAAUAAAGAAAACAAUAAAAACUCGAGGAAGAGACGCAAGGCAAGAAAUAUCACAAGUUUAUUCUAUAACCAAUCUCAAAGUCAAUACGGCAGAGGUAACAAAUGCUUAAGUUCAUGUCAUGUCUGUUU
rnacentral:lncRNA from 1 species